ACGUAAAGCGCAUGCAGGCGGCCGUGUUAAGUCAGAUGUAGAAAGGCCCGGGGACCGUUUAACCCGUACCGGUAAAGUUGCUAUUUAGUAAACGUGGCGAGGCUAGAGUCUUGUAGAGGGGGGUAGGAAUUUCAGGUGUAGCGGUGAAAUGCGUAGAGAUCUGAAGGAAUAUCAGUGGCGAAGGCGGCCCCCUCGGACAAAGACUGACGCUCAGAUGCGAAAGCGUGGGGAGCAAACAGGAUUAGAUACCCUGGUAG
rnacentral:rRNA from 1 species